rnacentral:lncRNA from 1 species
GCCUUAGUAUUUAUCUGUUUAUAAAUUGAAAGUGUUACCUCAAAUAAUUCAUCAAUUGGAAAUUAUUUAUCUGAGAUUGUUUAGAGAACCAUAGCCGGAUUCAGAAUUUAGUAUUAGUAAAAUGAGAAUCUGAUAGUCACUUAAAUUGAUGUUUUCUGCCUUUGAAAUUUCAGUUUUCAUUGUCUGCCUGUACACUGGUUUUCACCACCCUAAUUUAUGUUUUAGUUAAAAGUGACCCAAUGUGCUUUAAAGAGCUUUUAUUUUAUGUCAUUUUCCUUAUUCACUUAUAAGAACUUAUUUUAAUUACUCUUCAUUAAGUUGUUUGGUAGUGUUUGAAUUAAAGAAGUUCACUUGGCCUGUCACUCUACGCCACAUGCAUAUUUACUAUACUGCUGACAAAAUUCUUUCAAAAAUGGACUGGAUUUUUCAAAAUUUCAUGGGCUGGUAUCAUGGGGCCCUCCACCUAACUAAUGUUUUUUUCUGAAUGCAACUUCUAAGUAUCCAGAUUUUUCUACUUCCAUUUUGUAAACUAAAUUUAAAUAUUUGCUCACA